GACGAACGCUGGCGGCGUGCCUAAUACAUGCAAGUUGAGCGCUGAAGGUUGGUACUUGUACCGACUGGAUGAGCAGCGAACGGGUGAGUAACGCGUGGGGAAUCUGCCUUUGAGCGGGGGACAACAUUUGGAAACGAAUGCUAAUACCGCAUAAAAACUUUAAACACAAGUUUUAAGUUUGAAAGAUGCAAUUGCAUCACUCAAAGAUGGUCCCGCGUUGUAUUAGCUAGUUGGUGAGGUAAAGGCUCACCAAGGCGAUGAUACAUAGCCGACCUGAGAGGGUGAUCGGCCACAUUGGGACUGAGACACGGCCCAAACUCCUACGGGAGGCAGCAGUAGGGAAUCUUCGGCAAUGGACGAAAGUCUGACCGAGCAACGCCGCGUGAGUGAAGAAGGUUGUCGGAUCGUAAAACUCUGUUGGUAGAGAAGAACGUUGGUGAGAGUGGAAAGCUCAUCAAGUGACGGUAACUACCCAGAAAGGGACGGCUAACUACGUG
rnacentral:rRNA from 1 species